AUACGGAGGAUCCGAGCGUUAUCCGGAUUUAUUGGGUUUAAAGGGAGCAUAGGUGGACAGUUAAGUCAGUUGUGAAAGUUUGCGGCUCAACCGUAAAAUUGCAGUUGAUACUGGCUGUCUUGAGUACAGUAGAGGUGGGCGGAAUUCGUGGUGUAGCGGUGAAAUGCUUAGAUAUCACGAAGAACUCCGAUUGCGAAGGCAGCUCACUGGACUGCAACUGACACUGAUGCUCGAAAGUGUGGGUAUCAAACAGGAUUAGAUACCCUGGUAGUCCACACAGUAAACGAUGAAUACUCGCUGUUUGCGAUAUACAGUAAGCGGCCAAGCGAAAGCAUUAAGUAUUCCACCUGGGGAGUACGCCGGCAACGGUGAAACUCAAAUGAAUUGACGGGG
rnacentral:rRNA from 1 species